rnacentral:rRNA from 1 species
UACGUAGGUGGCAAGCGUUUGUCCGGAUUUACUGGGCGUAAAGAGCGCGCAGGCGGUCGGAUAAGUCGAAUGUGAAAGCCCCCCGGCUCAACUGGGGAGGGUCAUUCGAUACUGUUCGACUCGAAGGCAGGAGAGGGAAGUGGAAUUCCUGGUGUAGCGGUGAAAUGCGCAGAUAUCAGGAGGAACACCAAUGGCGAAGGCAGCUCGCUGGGACGUGACUGACGCUGAGACGCGAAAGCGUGGGGAGCAAACAGG